CCCUGAGACUGCUGCUCCUACAUGCAAGACGCUCAUCAAGGUUAUGAAUUCUGGAAGAAGAAAAAAUUUCACAAGCUCCCAGGGGAAACAAGAGAUUUGGAAUGGGCCAAUGAAAGCUUCUCUCAAGAAUAUACAGAAAACUGA